rnacentral:rRNA from 3 species
UUUACGGAGAGUUUGAUCCUGGCUCAGGAUGAACGCUGGCGGCGUGCUUAACACAUGCAAGUCGAACGGUGAAGCAGAGCUUGCUCUGUGGAUCAGUGGCGAACGGGUGAGUAACACGUGAGCAAUCUGCCCCUGACUCUGGGAUAAGCGCUGGAAACGGCGUCUAAUACCGGAUACGAGCUGCGACCGCAUGGUCAGUAGCUGGAAAGAAUUUCGGUCAGGGAUGAGCUCGCGGCCUAUCAGCUUGUUGGUGAGGUAAUGGCUCACCAAGGCGUCGACGGGUAGCCGGCCUGAGAGGGUGACCGGCCACACUGGGACUGAGACACGGCCCAGACUCCUACGGGAGGCAGCAGUGGGGAAUAUUGCACAAUGGGCGAAAGCCUGAUGCAGCAACGCCGCGUGAGGGAUGACGGCCUUCGGGUUGUAAACCUCUUUUAGCAGGGAAGAAGCGAAAGUGACGGUACCUGCAGAAAAAGCGCCGGCUAACUACGUGCCAGCAGCCGCGGUAAUACGUAGGGCGCAAGCGUUAUCCGGAAUUAUUGGGCGUAAAGAGCUCGUAGGCGGUCUGUCGCGUCUGCUGUGAAAACCCGAGGCUCAACCUCGGGCCUGCAGUGGGUACGGGCAGACUAGAGUGCGGUAGGGGAGAUUGGAAUUCCUGGUGUAGCGGUGGAAUGCGCAGAUAUCAGGAGGAACACCGAUGGCGAAGGCAGAUCUCUGGGCCGUAACUGACGCUGAGGAGCGAAAGGGUGGGGAGCAAACAGGCUUAGAUACCCUGGUAGUCCACCCCGUAAACGUUGGGAACUAGUUGUGGGGUCCAUUCCACGGAUUCCGUGACGCAGCUAACGCAUUAAGUUCCCCGCCUGGGGAGUACGGCCGCAAGGCUAAAACUCAAAGGAAUUGACGGGGACCCGCACAAGCGGCGGAGCAUGCGGAUUAAUUCGAUGCAACGCGAAGAACCUUACCAAGGCUUGACAUAUAGAGGAAACGUCUGGAAACAGUCGCCCCGCAAGGUCUCUAUACAGGUGGUGCAUGGUUGUCGUCAGCUCGUGUCGUGAGAUGUUGGGUUAAGUCCCGCAACGAGCGCAACCCUCGUUCUAUGUUGCCAGCACGUAAUGGUGGGAACUCAUGGGAUACUGCCGGGGUCAACUCGGAGGAAGGUGGGGAUGACGUCAAAUCAUCAUGCCCCUUAUGUCUUGGGCUUCACGCAUGCUACAAUGGCCGGUACAAAGGGCUGCAAUACCGUGAGGUGGAGCGAAUCCCAAAAAGCCGGUCCCAGUUCGGAUUGAGGUCUGCAACUCGACCUCAUGAAGUCGGAGUCGCUAGUAAUCGCAGAUCAGCAACGCUGCGGUGAAUACGUUCCCGGGUCUUGUACACACCGCCCGUCAAGUCAUGAAAGUCGGUAACACCUGAAGCCGGUGGCCCAACCCUUGUGGAGGGAGCCGUCGAAGGUGGGAUCGGUAAUUAGGACUAAGUCGUAACAAGGUAGCCGUACCGGAAGGUGCGGCUGGAUCACCUCCUUU